CAGCAGCCACGGUAAUACAGAGGGUGCGAGCGUUAAUCGGAUUUACUGGGCGUAAAGCGUGCGUAGGCGGCUUCUUAAGUCGGAUGUGAAAUCCCUGAGCUUAACUUAGGAAUUGCAUUCGAUACUGGGAAGCUAGAGUAUGGGAGAGGAUGGUAGAAUUCUAGGUGUAGCGGUGAAAUGCGUAGAGAUCUGGAGGAAUACCGAUGGCGAAGGCAGCCAUCUGGCCUAAUACUGACGCUGAGGUACGAAAGCAUGGGGAGCAAACAGGAUUAGAUACCCCCGUAGUCCCUGUCUCUUAUAC
rnacentral:rRNA from 1 species